rnacentral:rRNA from 1 species
AACGAACGCUGGCGGCACGUUUUAAGCAUGCAAGUCGAAUGGCAGUGGGGGCAACCCCAUGAGAAUGGCGAACGGGUGAGUAACACGUAGGUGAUCUGCCUGACGGAUGGGGAUAGCUUGUGGAAACACAGGGUAAUACCGAAUGAGCUGACGAGACUUUGGUUUUGUUAGUAAAGGUGCUACGGCACCGCCGACAGAGGAGCCUGCGGCUGAUUAGCUAGUUGGUGGGGUAAAGGCCUACCAAGGCGACGAUCAGUAGCCGGCCUGAGAGGGUGUACGGCCACACUGGAACUGAGACACGGUCCAGACUCCUACGGGAGGCAGCAGCUAAGAAUCUUCCGCAAUGGGCGAAAGCCUGACGGAGCGAUGCCGCGUGAUCGAUGAAGGUCGAGAGAUUGUAAAGAUCUUUUCUACAUGAGGAAUAAGUCUGGGAGGGAAUGCCUGGAUGAUGACGUUAGUGUAGGAAUAAGCCCCGGCUAAUUACGUGCCAGCCGCCGCCGUAA